rnacentral:misc_RNA from 1 species
GAUGAAGAACGCAGCGAAAUGCGAUAAGUAGUGUGAAUUGCAGAAUUCAGUGAAUCAUCGAAUCUUUGAACGCACAUUGCGCCCCUUGGUAUUCCAUGGGGCAUGCCUGUUCGAGCGUCAUUUGUACCUUCAAGCUCUGCUUGGUGUUGGGUGUUUGUCUCGCCUCUGCGUGUAAACUCGCCUCAAAACAAUUGGCAGCCGGCGUAUUGAUUUCGGAGCGCAGUACAUCUCGCGCUUUGCACUCAUAACGACGACGUCCAAAAGUACAUUUUUACACUCUUGACCUCGGAUCAGGUAGGGAUACCCGCUGAACUUAAGCAUAUCAAUAAGCGGAGGA